rnacentral:rRNA from 1 species
GACGGAGGAUGCAAGCGUUAUCCGGAAUGAUUGGGCGUAAAGCGUCUGCAGGUGGCAGUUCAAGUCUGCUGUCAAAGACCGGGGCUUAACUUCGGAAAGGCAGUGGAAACUGAACAGCUAGAGUAUGGUAGGGGGCAGAGGGAAUUCCUGGUGUAGCGGUGAAAUGCGUAGAGAUCAGGAAGAACAUCGGUGGCGAAGGCGCUCUGCUGGACCAUAACUGACACUCAGGGACGAAAGCUAGGGGAGCGAAUGGG